GGGAGCAGCCUUGGCUACUCUGUGCAGAAGCUCAGCUCCUCUCUGGUGGCAAGGAAUGGCUCCCAAGGGGCGUCGGGGCACAGACUCACCUCCGCCUUCGCUCCGCAUGCCGAUGGUGCCGCCGGUGUAGAUGGCUAGCAGCCGCCGGUCAGGCCCGGUAGCACGCGCCAUGACUGGGACAGCGGACUCCUCGGUGGGGACAGAGCCAAAGGGAAAGCAAGACCGGGAAACGGAGCUGCAGAAAUCCCCGUGCUGACCCUACUGAGCAGCUGCAGGCAGAACUGAGGCUGCAGGGCCCAUGACGAGCAACACAUGCCUGGGAAGCACCAGCUAAGGUACUCAGACCCCAACACCGCUUCCCUGCCAUUUUGACCUUGUGAGUUUACGGUGUAUCUGUCAGCAUUAUAUCAAGGGAGGAGUUUUUACUGAACAA